GCUCGCGUCACCUGCCCCUGAGCACAGCGAGGACGGGGGUGCCGUGACCCUCUGCUCACACCCCAGGCUCUGCCUUGGGCCCACCUCAGGGGAGGCCCAGAGAGGAUGGAGGCGGAGCAGAAGGAAGAGGGGCUCGGAGCCACCAGGUGGCAGGCAGAAGCUUCCAGAUAAAGCCAUUCAAGAUAAGGCAGCAGCAGAAGCAGAAGCGGGGAGAGAGGAGUGAGACCGGAGAACCAGAGAACCAGCAGGAGAGGACCCGGAGGAAGACCAAAGCCAGAGCCAGCUCCGUCCUGAAGAGGGGUCUGUGUGAGCAGGCAGGGCAGUGCCACCCCGCUGCGGGCCACCGGGCUGGGGCCCCGCUGGGAAGAAAUGCAUUGGCCUCCUUUCCUGGGAGGGUGAUGGGGGGACGGAGGUGGCAGCACUGGGCCGGGUGAAUGCAUUUUAAUUGGGAGGCAGAACAAGAAUGGAGGCUUUGGGGCAAGAGCAACAAAUUCCACCUACUCCCUGUGGUCAGUGGAGGGUCAAGUGUGAGAAUGAGGGGUGAGCUGGAAGUGGGCCCCUUCAUUUCUAUUCCAAUCUUUAAAAACAGGUUGGAGGCUAGUGUCGAGGCUAUGGGACCCCCUCCAUGGUGCUGGUAGCAAGGCCACCCCUUCCUUCUCCACCUUUCUUUGGAGGAUGAAUUACAUUUCCAGGGCACCUACUUCCCGUACCCAGGCAGCCUGGUGUUUGCAGUUAGUGGGGUUAUAACUCAACCUUCACCCCCAAGCAAAGUUUCCCCAUGGCCCCCAAUUUAUAUGGCUGCCCAAAUCAAAGUGGGGCUUGUGGCGGGAUUUACACUGGGCUCCUCAGAGCCCGCCAGGUCAGGGCGGGGCCGGCACAGAGACGGGGGAGUGGGGGCAGAUGGCUGACUGGCCCUCUUGCUGCUGGGUCCUGCCUGGGGCUCGGAGGGUUCGUGUCACAGUCUGGUGGCCAUACCCCUCACCUUCUCC